rnacentral:rRNA from 1 species
GAUGAACGCUGGCGGCGUGCCUAAUACAUGCAAGUCGAGCGAACGGACGAGAAGCUUGCUUCUCUGAUGUUAGCGGCGGACGGGUGAGUAACACGUGGAUAACCUACCUAUAAGACUGGGAUAACUUCGGGAAACCGUAGCUAAUACCGGAUAAUAUUUUGAACCGCAUGGUUCAAAAGUGAAAGACGGUCUUGCUGUCACUUAUAGAUGGAUCCGCGCUGCAUUAGCUAGUUGGUAAGGUAACGGCUUACCAAGGCAACGAUGCAUAGCCGACCUGAGUGGGUGAUCGCCACACUGGAACUGAGACACGGUCCAGACUCCUACGGGAGGCAGCAGUAGGGAAUCUUCCGCAAUGGGCGAAAGCCUGACGGAGCAACGCCGCGUGAGUGAUGAAGGUCUUCGGAUCGUAAAACUCUGUUAUUAGGGAAGAACAUAUGUGUAAGUAACUGUGCACAUCUUGACGGUACCUAAUCAGAAAGCCACGGCUAACUACGUG